UUUUUUUUUGGGGGGGGGGGGGGAAGAAACCCUAAACUGAUUCACAGAACACAGGGACUAGAAUUUCAAUUGAAACCAGAUGUUCUCGUUGUGAUUGUAUUUAAUGGCUAUCAGCAGUCAAACCCAAAAACCCAAAUCUCCAGUGUGGCCCAGCUAAUGUGAGUCACCCACCCAUGCCUGGGUAAGGUACCUGGGUUCCUCUGUGCGGGAGAAACAGAUAACUAUGCCAUAGCUGCAGUUUGUGGAGAAUUUACUAUGUGCUGGGCACCAUGCUUAAGCAUUAUACCCACCUUAUCUCAUUUAAUUCCAAGAAACCUAUAGAAUCGAGUGCUUUCUCCAUUACAUAAAUCAAACAGUUGAGACUCUGAGAAGUUAAUGACUUGCUUAAGGUCAUCCAGCAGGGAUUCCGACCCACAGCAGAGUCCACAGCCUGGCUCUUGCUUUCCACAUUGUAGUACAGUCUCUCCAUGUUGUACAGAGAAGGAGAAAGGUGGGAAGAAAGCGUAUUAGCACGAGUCUCUUCACUUGGUAAGCACCAGUGUGGCCACAGUGAUUUUCUAAAUACUAAAAUAUUUCCACACUAAUUUGUAAACAGUGUUGCCCAUAGUCUCUCCCUUCCUCCCCAGUGCUUUUCCAUUGCCCUUCUCCAGGACCCCGGGGCCCCUCAUUUAGCAACGAGAGGGGCCACCCCUGCUCUAGCAGGGCCCCUCAGGAGCCCUUCCAGGGCCUUCUUUUUGGGCAGUGUUAGGGAUUAUUAAUUCUCUGUAUAUCAUCCCUGAGGAGAAGAAACACCUAGUGAGCGUAGGGCAGAGGCAGGGCUGCUAGUUCUAGAAUUCACGGCUUUGUUUGCUAUAUUCCAUCUCUAACUACUCUGUUUUAUACUUAGAGGUUUCCUCCACAUCAGUCGUAACGCGGUUCCAGUGUUCGCCCUCUGCUGUCACCCAGGGCCAGGUGCAUGAGGCCUGUCCUCACUGUACUGCCUCCUCUUCCCUCGUGGCAGCAUUUCCUCCCAUCCUGCUUGGUCGGCACUGGCAGCUCCACGGGACAGCCAAACGUGACUGUGGCUUUUGGAAUUUGGGGCAAUUUGAUCAAAUCAAAGACAUCGUGACUGUGAGGUUCACCAUUCCUGUACGUCCCAGCAAGAAAGAAAGCCCUGUGACGCAUGACAGUGCCAUGCCAUCAUGGAUCAGUCGCACCAGCAUCUUGGUGCUUUGAGAUUUCUUUCAACUCUUCUGCAGGAUUUGGCAAUUUCUCCUGCCUCUGGUUGCCAUGAUAGGCAGUCCUUCUGCACAUGUCUCUGUAACAAAAUGGAACACAGAUUCAGCUGCUUGCUCCACACCCAGUGAGGAGCCCAAUGCAGGGCCUGAACUCAUGACCCUGAGAUCAAGACCUGAGCUGAGAUCAAGAAUCAGACACUCAACCAACCGAGCCACCCAAGCACCCUUGUUUUUAUCUUCUUUUUUGACGAAUUUUUGAGUCCUGUAAUUAACCCUGAAAAAUUCCAUGAGAUUUAAAAAAUGUAAGUAUAUUAAACCUAUAAAUUUGUGAUUGAUACCCUUACGCUAUGCAUUUUUAUUUAUUUUUAUUUUUUAACAUACAGUGCUUUAUUAGUUUCAAGUGUACAAUAUAGUGAUCCAACAGUUCCAUACAUUCCUCAGUGCUCAAGACAAGUGCACUCCUUUAUCCCCUUCAUCUAUUUCACCCAUCCCCCCACCCACCUUCCCUCUGGUAACCAUCAGUUUGAUUUCUAUAGUGAAGGGUCCUUUUUUUGGUUUGUCUCUCUUUUUUUUCCCUUUUUUCAUUUGUUUUGUUUCUUGAAUUCCACAUAUGAAUGAAAUCAUAUGGUAUUUGUUUUUCACUGAAUGGCUUAUUUUGUUUAGCGUUAUACUCUCUAGAUUCAUCCAUGUUGUUGCAAAUGGCAAAAUUCCAUUAUUUUUUAUGGCUGAGUAAUAUUCUGUUGUAUAUAUAUACACCACAUCUUCUUUAUCCAUUCAUGUAUUGAUAAACACUUGGGCUGCUUCCAUAGUUUGGCUGUGUAAAUAAUGCUGCAAUAAACAUAAGGGUAUACAUAUCCCUUCAAAUUAGUGUUUUUGUAUUCCUUUUGUUUUGUUUUUUAAGAUUUUAUUUAUUCAUUUGACAGAGAGAGGGAGACACAGCGAGAGAGGGAACACAAGCAGGGGGAGUGGGAGAGGGAGAAGCAGGCUUCCCGCCAAGCAGGGAGCCCGACGUAGGGCUCGAUCCCAGGACCCUGGGAUCAUCACUUGAGCCGAAGGCAGAUGCUUAACGACUGAGCCACCCAGGCACCCCAGUGUUUUUGUAUUCUUUAUGUAAAUACCUAGUAGUGAGAUUACUAGAUCAUAGGGUAGCUCUAUUUUUAAUUAUUUAAAAUUUUUUAAAAACACAGCGCUCCAUCCCAUCACCUUGAGAUUACCACCUGAGCCCAAACCAAGAGUUGGACACUCAACUGACUGUGCCCCGCAUGUGCCCCGUCUAUUUUUAAUUUUUUGAGGACCCUCCAUACUGUUUUCCACAGUGGCUGCACCAGUUUGCAUUCCCUCCAACAGUGCACAGGAGUUCCUUUUUCUCCAAAUCCUCACAAACACUUGUUCCUUUAGUUUUUUAUUUUAGCCAUUCUGACAGGUGUGAGAUGAUCUCAUUGUGGUUUUGAUUUGCAUUUCCCUGAUGAUAAGUGAUGUUAAGCAUCUUUUUUUUAUGUGUCUGUAGGCCAUCUGUAUGGAUUCUUUGGAGAAAUGUCUGUUCAUGUCUUCUGCCCAUUUUUAAAUUGGAUUAUUUGGGGCGGUUUUUUGGUGUUGAGUUCUAUAAUUUCUUUUUAUAUUUUGGAUACUAACCCUUUAUUGGAUAUGUCAUUUGUAAAUACCCUCUCCCAUUCAGGAGGUUGUCUUUUAGUUCUGUUGGUUGUUUCCUUUGCUGUGCAGAGCUUUUUAGUUUGAUACCGUCCCAAUAGUUUAUUUUUGCUGUUGUUUUCCUUGCUUCAGGAGACACAUCUACAGCAUUCAUUUUUAAAUCUAAAAACAUAAUAUGUUUCUGCAACUGUGCAAAUAUAUGUAUCUUUUCAACUUGGAUUUGCAUUAAAAAUUAUACCAUGCAAAUUUUUUUUUAAAAGAUUUUAUUUAUUUUGACAGAGAGAGAGACAGUGAGCGAGGGAACACAACCAGGGGGAGUGGGAGAGGGAGAAGCAGGCUUCCCGCUGAGCAGGGAGCCCAAUGUGGGGCUCGAUCCCAGGACCCUGGGAUCAUGACCUGAGCCAAAGGCAGACGCUUAACGACUGAGCCACUCAGGCGCCCCUAUAUACCAUGAAAAUUUUUAAUAAAAAUAUUCCUAUUCCUAGGUAUUUCAUAGUUUGUGAGAAUGUAUAUACCAUUUACAAGCAAUUAUGUUGAUGAUUUAGGACUACAGAGCCAGUUGCUCUCAUGAAUGAUCCAGGGUGUGAGGACCCAGAGGACAGAGAGAGGGAAAGAAUAGUUGUGGCAGCAUGUCCUGGUCAGAUGGAGCCCUGCCUCCUGUACUGGGCAGCGUGUGCCCGGCUGAGCCACGGGCCCUGGCCCUCAUUUUUGUUCAGUCGAUCUUCUCCUUGUUGGCAUGGCAUUCUACCCACCAAAAGAGCUAAAUACUAUUUGACCAUCAGCCUUCGUUGCAAUAAGAACCUGGACAUAGAUUCAAACACGCCAUUAGAAUAUGAAAGGAAACCUGCUGAGUAUCUAGAAAAGGUGUGUGUGUUUGUGUGUGUGUGUUUGAUAAAAGAGAGACAGGCAGGAAGAGAGCCCAUGCCCUCACUUUCUUCCUGUCCUUGAACGCUGAUGUGUGAGAACACAAUGUUUGGCGCUGUGGCAGUCAUCUUGAAACCUUGAGGGGAAAGCGAGGAGAAUCACACCAGAGCCAUCCCAGAGACCCGAUAUCAUCAUGUCGCUGUGCCAACCAACUCUGGGAUCCUCUACUGGCAUAAUGGAAUGUUACCAUUCGUGCUUCCUGUCGCAUGUAACCAAAACAUAUUAACCGGUAUAUUUUCUGAAUCUGCCUUCCCCUCUUCUAGUCGACAGUCCUUCCACUUAGAAUGUCUGGGCAGCCUAGUCAGUACCUCCAGAUCUCCCCAUGUUUAGCUCUCUGCUCUCACAUUCAUUCCUCCUUCUACAUUUAAACCCUUCCUUUUGCACUAGGAACCAUGAUUACACUGGCCCCAUCUGUCUUCCACUCUCACUCCGCACCCUACCCGACUUGUUAAGAGCUUAAAAACAACACAGAUUUUACACAUCAUGGCUAUUGUACACCUGUGCCAUUUUGUCUGCUCAUCGCUUGCUCUCCCCUCCUCCUGGAAGAUGUGUCUUGAUUUCCCAGGAGGGGCUGCUGCUUUCCUUUCAGUUCAUGUCCUAUGAAUAAGGUAGACACCGUCCUUUGUGUUCCUGGCUUGGGCGCGCUUCCAUUCAUCAUUGCAUCAUUGAUUGGUUCAUGUGUGAGUGGGGACACAGUUUGAGGCCGUGAGCUCCAAUCCUAUUUUAACGAAGUGAAAAGAAAUUUAUGCUUUUUGCUGAGAUUGCCAGAGUCAGGUUGAUGUGAGCCUGGAGCUUCUGGGGCCUGUAGAAAGUUGGGCUAAGAAGUCAAAGCAGAAAAAUACCAAGCAGGAAAUGGAGAGGAAAACAAAAACCAAAAAACAGGCCUGAUGACAUUGUUUGAGCCUCUGACUUUUCUAUCAAGUGACCAAUGAUUUCCUUUUCUUUUUUUGCUUAGACCAGUUUGAGUUUGGUUCCUUUUUUUUUUUUCUUCAGAUUUUUAAUUUAAAUUCUAGUUAUUUAACAUAUAGUGUAAUACUGGUUUCAGGAGUAGAGUUUAGUGAUUCAUCACUUACAUAUAACACCCAGUGCUCAUCACAAGUGCCCUCCUUAAUGCCCUUUACCCAUUUAUCCCAUCCCCCACCCCCUCCCUCCAUCAACCCUCAGUUUGUUCUCUAUUGAUAAGAGUCUCUUACAGUUUGUUUCCCUCUCUCUUUUCCCCCCUUCCCAUAUGUUCAUCUGUUUUGUUUCUUAAAUUCCACAUGUGUGUGAAAUCAUCUGGUAUUUGUCUUUCUCUGAAUUAGUUCAUGCAGCAUAGUACACUCUGGCUCCAUCCAUGUCAUUGCAAAUGGCAAGAUUUCAUUUUUUUUGAUAAAGAUUUUAUUUAUUUGGGAUGCCUGGGUGGCUCAGUUGGUUAAGCAGCUACCUUUGGCUUGGGUCAUGAUACCAGGGUCCUGGGAUCGAGUACCCCAUCAAGCUCCUGCCCCAGUGGGGAGCCUGCUUCUUCCUCUGCCACUCCCCCUGAAUUCAUUUGUCAGAGAGAGAGAGAGAGAGAGCACAAGCAGGGGGAGUGGCAGGCAGAAAGAGAGGCAGGCUCCCUGUUGAGCAAGGAGCCCGAUGUGGAACUUGAUCCCAGAACCCUGGGAUCAUGACCUGAGCCGAAGGCAGAAGCUUAACUGACUGAGCCACCCAGGUGUCCCAAGAUUGCAUCAUUUUUGAUGGUUGAGUAGUAUUCCAUUGUAUGUGUAUACCACAUCUUCUUUUUUUUUUUUUUUAAGAUUUUAUUUAUUUGCAAGAGAGAGAAUGAGAGACAGAGAGCAUGAGAGGGAGGAGGGUCAGAGGGAGAAGCAGACUCCCUGCCGAGCAGGGAGCCCGAUGCAGGACUCGAUCAUGGGACUCCAGGAUCAUGACCUGAGCCAAAGGCAGUUGCUUAACCAACUGAGCCACCCAGGCGCCCCUACCACAUCUUCUUUAUCCAUUUACCCAAAGGUAAAUACCUAGUAGUGUAAUUGCUGGAUCAUAGGGUAGUUCUAUUUUUAACUUUUUGAGGAACCUCCAUACUGUUUUCCAGAGUGGCCACACCAGUUUGCAUUCCCACCAACAGUGUAAGAGGAUUCCCCUUUCUCCGCAUCCUCGCCAACAUCUGUUGUUUCAUGUGUUGUUAAUUUUAGCCAUUCUGACAGGUGUGAGGUAGUAUCUCAUCCUGGUUUUGAUUUGUAUUUCGCUGAUGAGUGAUGUUGAGCAUCUUUUCAUGUGUCUGUUGGCCUUCUGAAUGUCUUCUUUGGAAAAAUGUCUGUUGAUGUCUUCUGCCCAUUUCUUAACUGGAUUGUUUGUUUUUUGGGUGUUGAGCUUUAUAAGUUCUUUAUAGAUUUUGGAUGAGUUUGGUUCUUAUCACUUGGACUUGCAACCAAGGAAGUCCUGAUCACUAGAGCACCUGUAAAUUCAAGGUCCAGGGCUCAGUGACUUUUGGGUACUGAUAGCUUAUUACACCCAUCUCCCAAUCAUAGGACCUUCAUUCCAUCUGUGUCCCCACCUCAGGGCCUCUCAGUUAUUUCUCUCAGUGCCUCAUGUAUAUACACUCCUGACAAAGUCGAUUACAUUCUUCAGCUCCAGUCUCUAGGUGAUGUCUUCUGUUCAUAAGUCACCAUGUCCGAGCUGCCGGGGCCCUGCACGGAGACUGACCACUCUAUUGUAUCAUCUCAGUUUAGAUACCAUUACAAAUGCAAAGCAGUUGCCAUGGAUGAGAAGGUAAAAUGGGUUGUGUGUAACAGCACUGAAAACUCUCAGAACCACAAGAAGAAAAAGUUCACAAUUUAUACCCCAAACAGUGCAUUACACAGAAAUUCAAUUUUAAACAAUAAGAAUUUUAAACAAUAAGAAUUUUAAAGAUACUGACUUACAUGGAAAACCAGAAUUCAGAAUCAGUGAGGAACCCCAUGGUAGUUGUGUGGUAAGCAUUUCUAAGUACUCAUGGAAACUUGUUAAAAUGAACAUAUGUUUAAGCAUAUUUAAAAAAAGACUACAAAAUACUAAAAGUAAAAUUCCAUUAUUGCCUUAAAAACCAAGACUGUCAUGUAUGUGUUAAGAACUACUAUGUGGGUCUGGAUUGCUAUCUACAGUUUUAGUAAAUAAUUCAAAAUUAUUCUGAAUUUAUUGUUAGGUUAAUGGUUUUUACUGAGCACAACUGUCUAAAGUCAAAUCAAUUUGUGGUUGCUUCAUUUAGGAAAUAUAAAUCCUCAGAAAAUCUGUCAGUAUAAAAGGGAUACCUCCAGAGCCAAUUUCUUCAUUAUUUUUUUUAAGGUUUUUAUUUUUUUGUCAGAGAGAGAGAGAAAGAAAGUGCAAGAGCACAAGCAGGGGGAGUAGCAGGCAGAGGGAGAGGGAGAAACAGGUUCCCCGCUGAGGAAGGAGCCCGAUGCGGGACUUGAUCCCAGGACCCUGGAAUCAUGCAUGACCUGAGCCAAAGGCGAACGCCCAACCAACUGAGCCACCCAGGCAUCCUUCUUCUGUUCUUUAAAGAAGGGCUUAAUGAUUGGUCCUUACUUUGUCAGAAGAAAUAAUUGUAGUGGUAAAAGUUAUCCUAUAGCACUUCUGGAUUGUUCAUGAGAGUCUAAAAAAAUUAAAGCUUUUCAUUUAGUGCAAGAUGGUGCUCUGUGCAACCAUAAUCUAAGUAAAUCUGAGUUCCCAUUUCAGUUAAAAAAUGAGCUUGGCUACCCCACUCAAGCAUCUUCCAUCAAAAUGACUCUCUAGGGAAUAUGGGGGUGACCUCUUUAUUGUCCUAACCUAUUUCAAUUGGACUUUAAAAUUGCUGUUUAAAAUAGCAAGAAAAGGGGUACCUGGGGUGCUCAUUCAGUUAAGCGUCUGCCUUCGGCUCAGGUCAUGAUCCCAGGGUCCUGGGAUCGAGCCCGCAUUGGGCUCCCUGCUCAGCGGGGAGCCUGCUUCUCCUCCCUUUGCCCCUUCCCCUCGCUCAUCCUCUGUCUCCCCCCCACCAAAAUAAAUAAAAUCUUAAAAAAAAAAAUAAAAUAGCAAGAAAAAAAAAAGAUGAUGAGGCAGAGGAUGGGGAACUUGCAGUUUUGAAAGACAUUAUCACCCAAUAGCAAUAUGUAAGCUUUAAUCAAACAAACUGUAAAAUAAAUUUAUGACCCUUAUGAAAUGAUUGGAAAUUUUAACAACUACUGUAUAUUUGAUAUUAAAAAAUUACCGUUGGGGCGCCUGGGUGGCUCAGUCGGUUAAGUGUCUGCCUUUAGCUCAGGUCAUGAUCCCAGGGUCCUGGGAUCAAGCCCAUGUCGGGCUCCCUGCUCAGCGGCGAGCCUGCUUCUCCCUCUGCCUGCUGCUCCCCCUGCUUGUGUUCACUCCCUCUCUCUGUGUCAAAUAAAUAAAUAAAAUCUUUUAAAAAAAUUACUGUUGAUUUUUUAAGUUAUGAUAAUGAUAUUGUGAUUAUGUUUAGGAAGAGUCAUUACCUUUUAAGGAACCAUAAUGAAAUGGCUGUAGAUGGAAUGAUAGGAUGUCUGGGGUUGCUUCAGAAUAAAAGGUGAUGUAGUGGAUGGGGGUAUGGAAGAAAUAAAAGUAUCCGUGAGUUGAUAAUUGUUGAAACCAGGUGAUGGGUAAAGGGGAGUUCAUUUUGCUAUUCCCUCUAUUUUAGUAUUUGUUUAAAAUUCACUUAUAACAGAAAGUUAAAAAAUAUGAAAAGUUUAUGUCCUUUGGCAGCAUUUAGGAUGUUUCACCUUAGGAUUCUUUUUCAAGGAGUUGGUAUAUUGAGAGCCUCUUUUUUUCCAGCUCGUUCCCCAUUCUUAAUGUUAGUUGUCCUCAGAGCCUCCUUUCUCGUCUUUUUUUUCCUGUUCCCUUUAUUAUCUCCUUUGCUCCCAUGGCUUUCAUUAUCAACCAUAUGCUGCCAAUCUCAAAUGUGAAUCUCCUCCCACCUAUCCAACUCUAGCUACAUAUUUCCUGACUUGGAUGUCUCAAGGGCACCUCCGUCUUAACUGAGCUCAUUGUCUCUAUUCCCAAAACCUGCCUCUUUUUCUGAAUUGCUCUUUUAGUGACCACUGAGAAUGAGGCACAUUUCUCCAUUUGGCUCAUGCCUAUUAUCCUAGUUUCUGCAAUUAGGAAUUGACUGUGUCUUAUCUUACAGUCAUUCAUUUCAUGAAUGAAUUGAAUGUUUAUUGAGUGCCUGUCGUGAGCAUUCUAUUAUCUUGGAAUUAUGUGUCUCAUUGCCUAGCACAGUGCUGGGCAGAGAAUUAACUGUCAAAGAUCUCUUGUUGACCAGUUCUUCUUUUUUAAUUAAUGAAAUAUUUCA